GAGUCUAUGGGGUAGAGAAGUAAAGAAUAACAUUCUUAUUCAUUAUACAGCUUCAUUUAUCUAUUUGCAUAUCUUUGUCACCCUCUAGACUGGAAACUAAGAGAAUGUGUCUGAUUUACCCCUAGUGCAUACCACAGUGAACAACACAGUGGGUAUUCAAUCAUUCAUGUUGAAUAAAUGAAGUAAUCUUAAUCCUUCCUAUAUCGGGUGGAUGUCUUCAGAAGUUGGGGUUGCAAUUUGUGUGGAUUGCUUGUCUUCAUAUUAUUAUGGGAGUGAAUGGAGCCAUCCUGUCCCAAAAAGAAUGUUCUAUCGAGUUUAAGGUGACUGAGUCAGACAAAUGGAGACUUAGAGCAAUAUUCUACUUAAACAGAACUCUGGAGCCUUGACAUAAUCUGAAAACAGAUGCAGUGUUGAUCACAGAGGAGGGUCAACUCAGCUGGCAGUUUCCAGAUGCAUAAUAAAGGGGACAUAUGGGACUCACCCUUCCAUUAUCCAUCUGACCCUGAAGGGAUACUGACAAGAAUGUUAAUGCAGAAGUCUGUUCAGCUUCAGUACACCCUAAAUUCAUACUCACUUACAUGAAUGCCUAUCUUAAGAAACAAAAUAAAGCCUCAAUAGCUAGCAUUCUGCCAUCAGCCUCGACUGAAAGUUCUGCCGCAGUCUAGCCCAGAGAACUGGCCCAUGCAUGUGGACA